UCUCCACUAUAUAAUUCAAACUAUUUUCAUUCAUCUGUAUAUUCAAUAGGAGUAAUAGAUUGAAACAUCAUACAAUGGCGAGGCUCAUGAAAUCACAUGUGAGGAUCUUCUGUAUAAGCUUUCUAUUGGUGUUUGUGUGUUAUUGGUGUGAAAAAAAUGAACACCAGCACACGCAAGCAUUUGGAGUUCCACCGCCACCGAAAGACUGUACUCCACGUUGUUUUCAAUCACAAGAUUUAAACUCAUGGUAUUGUUGCAAUGAAUCCUAUGGUAGUAAAGAGAUGUGCGAGAGAGACUGUAAGAAAAAGAAAAGUUGUUGUUAGGGUCUAGACCCAAAGUCCACAGGAGAUCUGUUUCUUCAAGCAGUAUGCAUAGGCGAAAAGAUCAUAAAUGACGAGGAAUGCUUUAUACUAAAGCUUGACACGAGCCAAUCUGAUCUAGAGGCACAAGCCACUCCAAAAUACGAGAUCAUCCAUCACAGAAUUUGGGGUUACUUUAGCCAACGAUCGGGUCUUUUAGUCAAGUUUGAGGACUCAAGAUUGCUAUCUGUAAAUGGCGAAAACGGGGAUGGCAUCCUUUGGGAAACCAGUACAGAAUCGGUAAUGGAGUAUUACAGAUACGUUGAGGGUGUAAAUAUCGCACAUAGUGGGAAAACUUCGGUUACCAUCUUUAGAUAUGGAGAACAUUCAUCGAAUCAUAAGAGGGAGCUUGAAGAGAAAUGGAGGAUUGAAGAAGUUCACUUUAAUGUUUGUGGAUUGAAUAAGAUUUCUUUA